rnacentral:tRNA from 1 species
GGAGGGGUGGCCGAGCGGUCGAAGGCGCACGCCUGGAAAGUGUGUAUACCCCGAAAGGGUAUCGUGGGUUCGAAUCCCACUCCCUCCGCCA